AACGAACGCUGGCGGCAUGCCUAACACAUGCAAGUCGAACGAGACCUUCGGGUCUAGUGGCGCACGGGUGCGUAACGCGUGGGAACCUGCCCUUAGGUUCGGAAUAACUCCCCGAAAGGGGUGCUAAUACCGGAUAAUCUCUUCGGACCAAAGAUUUCUCGCCUUUGGAUGGGCCCGCGUUGGAUUAGCCAGUUGGUAGGGUAAAAGCCUACCAAGGCGACGAUCCAUAGCUGGUCUGAGAGGAUGAUCAGCCACACUGGGACUGAGACACGGCCCAGACUCCUACGGGAGGGAGCAGUGGGGAAUAUUGGACAAUGGGCGAAAGCCUGAUCCAGCAAUGCCGCGUGAGUGAUGAAGGCCGUAGGGUUGUAAAGCUCUUUUACCCGGGAUGAUAAUGACAGUACCGGGAGAAUAAGCACCGGCUAACUCCGUG
rnacentral:rRNA from 1 species